AUUGAACGCUGGCGGAAUGCUUUACACAUGCAAGUCGAGCGGCAGCACGGGGGCAACCCUGGUGGCGAGCGGCGAACGGGUGAGUAACACAUCGGAACGUACCCUGUCGUGGGGGAUAACGAGUCGAAAGAUUCGCUAAUACCGCAUACGACCCGAGGGUGAAAGCGGGGGAUCGCAAGACCUCGCGCGACCGGAGCGGCCGAUGGCGGAUUAGCUAGUUGGUGGGGUAAAGGCCCACCAAGGCGACGAUCCGUAGCGGGUCUGAGAGGACGGCCCGCCACACUGGGACUGAGACACGGCCCAGACUCCUACGGGAGGCAGCAGUGGGGAAUUUU
rnacentral:rRNA from 1 species